UGUGCUGCAAAGAAUGAAUGCUGCAAUACCUGUCUUGGUACUUGAGGGUAGAACAGCAAGCAGGGUAAAGGAGGAAGGCUAGUGAGAGAGUUGGCUCUGAAAUCCUCUCAGGAGUGGCCAAGUCUGUCAGGAGUGAUAUAGAGCCACAGGUGGUGAGCCCUGAGUGUAGGAUGAGGCAUUUCAGGGAGAGAGCCAAAGGGAUACUGACAGGUCUUGCUUGAGGAAGGCUGAAUUUGGGUUAAGUUGUACCUUUGGGGUUUGAGAUUUACUGGGGGAUUUGGGAGAACCUUGGGAGCUCUGACAGCAGGGUGAACCUAGAGAGGUAGUGGGGAGACUGCCUAGUAAAAGGCUAUGGUGGAAAGAAGCCUAGAGAGGCAGCAGGGCUUGGUUUGACUAGACAGACCUUGCCUGCUUGCUACAGGAUCCCUGGACUGGAACCCAGAGUUGAGAGCAGCAAUGGGUUCCUCCAUCCACUGCUGGAAAAAGGUAGUGUGCAAAGCCCCUUCUGGCCCUCUCCCCAGAUAUAAAGGGAUAAGGACACUCACAGCCCGGAGCCAAAAGGGUGUGAGGACCUUAGGGCUCAGUCAAGCCUGAAGACAUGUUGUAAAGACAUUGGAGUGUGUAUUUGUUGGACUCUAGUUCCACCCCUAUUGGGGUAACAGAGUGUGACCUGGUUGGAGGACUGAGUCAUUGGAAGAGAGACCACCACAGGACUGGAGUGACAGUUGGCAGGGGGUACUAGCAGGGAAAAGAGCUGCUACACCAUACCCAGCCUCAGUGGGGCACUCCAGUGCACCACCUCAGACAGUGAAUUCUUCUGAAGCCGCUGAGAGCCUUCACAAAUUUUGGAGGUGGUCUUAGUAGCUGUAGCACAGGAAGAAAGGCAUCUUCAGACUCCGUCACAAUUUCUUGGAACCUGCCCCUACGUCCAACACAAAUUGUUACAACAUUAAUAAAUACCCCACUGCCGUUAGAGAGACAACCUGAACUAGCUUUCUCACAAUACAAAUGUGUGCUAUGUACUGUAUUUUUUAUUCUAAACAUAGUUCAUGUUAUGAAGUUUUCUCCUCAGACAUUCUCCAGCCCUUGGCUAGAGUGAGUAGGAAACAUAACAAUGCAAUGCAUAAUAACUUAGCACAGUAACCUUGCUGUGGUGUGGAAAGUUGUGGAAAUACAAUAAAAACGAGCUCUUUGUA